UCCUCUUCUGUUCCGGCUUCGAUUCCCGUAGUUUUUGCCGAUAUAAAAUGAGGAAAUAUAACUCUGGCAUAACCCUACUGUUGCGCUUUUAUGUGUUGUCUGUUUCUUAGUCGCCUGUACAAUU
ensembl:snoRNA F26D10.24 ncRNA